rnacentral:rRNA from 1 species
AACGUGGGCAAUCUGCCCUGCAUUCUGGGACAAGCCUUGGAAACGAGGUCUAAUACCGGAUACGACGCAUCUCCGCAUGGAGUGUGCGUGGAAAGCUCCGGCGAUGCAGGAUGAGCCCGCGGCCUAUCAGCUUGUUGGUGGGGUAAUGGCCUACCAAGGCGACGACGGGUAGCCGGCCUGAGAGGGCGACCGGCCACACUGGGACUGAGACACGGCCCAG